AUUGAACGCUGGCGGCAGGCCUAACACAUGCAAGUCGAGCGGAUGAAGGGAGCCUGCUCCUGGAUUCAGCGGCGGACGGGUGAGUAAUGCCUAGGAAUCUGCCUGGUAGUGGGGGAUAACGUCCGGAAACGGGCGCUAAUACCGCAUACGUCCUGAGGGAGAAAGUGGGGGAUCUUUGGACCUCACGCUAUCAGAUGAGCCUAGGUCGGAUUAGCUAGUUGGUGGGGUAAAGGCCUACCAAGGCGACGAUCCGUAACUGGUCUGAGAGGAUGAUCAGUCACACUGGAACUGAGACACGGUCCAGACUCCUACGGGAGGCAGCAGUGGGGAAUAUUGGACAAUGGGCGAAAGCCUGAUCCAGCCAUGCCGCGUGUGUGAAGAAGGUCUUCGGAUUGUAAAGCACUUUAAGUUGGGAGGAAGGGCAGUAAGUUAAUACCUUGCUGUUUUGACGUUACCAACAGAAUAAGCACCGGCUAACUUCGUG
rnacentral:rRNA from 1 species